GAUCCGUAGGUGAACCUGCGGAGGGAUCAUUACAGAGUUCAUGCCCUACCGGGUAGAUCUCCCACCCUAUGUUAUUAUUACUUUGUUGCUUUGGCGGGCCGUUAGGCUCCGGCCCGACUACCGGCCCCGGCUGGUAAGCGCCCGCCAGAGGACCCAAAACCCUGAAUAUUAGUGUCGUCUGAGUACUAUAUAAUAGUUAAAACUUUCAACAACGGAUCUCUUGGUUCUG
rnacentral:misc_RNA from 1 species